rnacentral:lncRNA from 1 species
AGACGUCGUUGUGAGACAGGCCUGAAUGGGCCCUUCUGACCACCUGAGCCUGGCCUUGGCUCUGCUCUGAGGAUCUGAAGGUUCAGAGCUCACAGGGACCAAGGGAAAAAGCAAGUGCUGGGGGAUGUGCCACUCUCUCAUUGUUGCAGGUUGCUUUCCCAGACACUCACUGGAAGGAAGAACGGGAAUUGUUAGUUUAAGCUCAUCACUAAAGUCGCAUCAAAUGCACGGACCUUCUCCCAGGAAGGCGGCCUUUUGCAUUAUGAACCCCACUGGAAGAGCUCCAAGUCUUCACUUGCUGUGGUCAAGAACUGUAACCACAGGAGAGACGGGAUUUCACUAUGUUGGCCAGGCUGGUCUUGAACUCCUAACCUCGUGAUCUGCCUGCCUCGGCCUCCCAAACUGCUGGGAUUACAGGCGUGAGCCACCCCACCCGGACUACACCAGACCUAUGAUUCAGAUCUGUCAGCACUUUUGGGGAUGUGGGUCUUGCCCUGGCCUUCAGUUCCUCUCCAGAUUAAGAACCUGCAUGCUUUGCCCACAGACAGAUGGCUACAACAAAACUGCACAACUUGGUAGAUCCCGACUGCCAGUGGUCAGUCUAUGCAGCCAGGGCCCUGUCACUAAAAUCUGUAGGCUGUUCAGUGUGAAGAUGAGGAGUGACUGACAGUCCAACGUCAGGGCAAGGAUGACUUAGGGAUCUUCACCCAGAGGAAUACUAUGUACAACUGUUAAAAUGUUUACAGGGUGUGUAGGAACCACAGAAAAUGCUUCUGUUUCAAUGUCACAAGACAAAAAGCAGGAAUGCAAAGUUGCGUUCACAGUGUGAAAAAGAAAAUGCUUGGGAAAAAGUCCAGAAGGAACUACACCAACACGUGGCCAGGCAUGAUGGCUCAGUCCCGUAACCCCAGCACUUUGCGAGGCCACAGCAGGAGGAUUGCUUGAGGCCAGGAGUUCCAGAUCAGCCUGGCCAACAUAGGAAGACCUCGUCUCUACUAAAAAUUAAAAAUUCGGCUGCGUGUGGUGGUGUGCGCCUGUACUUCCAGCUACUAGGCAAGGCUGAGGUAGAAGGAUCGUUUGAACCUAGGAGUUCGAGGCUGCAUGGGCCAUGAUUGUGCCACAAUGCUCCAGCCUGGGCAACAGCAAGACACUGUCUCAAAACAAAUAAAUAAAAAUAAAAAUAAAUACACAAAAAAAAAAAAAAAA